CAAAUAUUUACCCAGCAGUGCUCGUGUGCAAGGCAGUGUGGGAAUCUCUAUAUAUCCAGCCACGGAUAAGGCAACAUACCUCUCCACCUGGAGCGCACAUUCUGGCAGGAGAGAAAGACCUAAAUAAGCAAUAGAUGAUUAGUUCUUCAAUAACAGUUGUGACAAGGUCUAUUGAUAAUAUUUUGUAAUCACUAAUAUUCAUAUAAACCGUGCACAACCAUUGAUUUGAGUGCAUUAACUCACACUUCAUGAGCAGGCACUGCCGUCAUCUCAUUUUAUAGAUGAGGAAACUGAGGCACAGAAAGGCUGAGAGACCUGGCCUAGUGACAGAGCCAGGAUUCAAAGCCAUAGAUCAUGGCCCCGGGUUAUGUAGGUUAUUACUGCAUCUGUUCAGGGGAGAUGGGGUACUGUGAGGCUCGUCAUGGGAAGCCUGGCUUGGUCUCAGGUCAGGGAAGGCAGAUGUGAGGAAAUGACAUUUAUGGUAAAGUCUGAGGGUUGAGUGGGUAGGUUGGGAAGAACAUUCCAGAAAGAAGCACAUGAACUACAGCCUGGAGGUGGAGGACCUAAAAGGAAGCCAGCAUGGCUGGAGCACGG
rnacentral:lncRNA from 10 species